UAAUACCGGCGGUCCAAGUCGUAUCCACAUUUAUUGGGUCUAAAACAUUCGUAGCUUGUUCUGUAAGUUUCUUGUGAAAUCUGAUGUCUCAAGCAUCAGGCGUGCAAGAAAUACUGCAGUACUAGAGACCGGAAGACGUAAGGAGUACGAUUGAGGUAGCGGUAAAAUGCAUUAAUCUUGAUCGGACUAACAAUGGCGAAGGCACCUUACGAGUACGGAUCUGACAGUGAGGGAUGAAGGCUAGGGUCGCGAAAGGGAUUAGAUACCCCUGUAGUCCUAGCAGUAAACACUGUUCACUAAACAUUAGUGCCUCCUCGAGAGGCGUUAGUGCUGUAGGGAAGCCGAAGAGUGAACUACCUGGGAAGUAUAGUCGCAAGGCCG
rnacentral:rRNA from 1 species